GCGGCCUAUCAGCUUGUUGGUGGGGUAAUGGCCUACCAAGGCAACGACGGGUAGCUGGUCUGAGAGGAUGAUCAGCCACACUGGGACUGAGACACGGCCCAGACUCCUACGGGAGGCAGCAGUGGGGAAUCUUGCGCAAUGGGCGAAAGCCUGACGCAGCAACGCCGCGUGCGGGAUGAAGGCCUUCGGGUUGUAAACCGCUUUCAGCAGGAACGAAAAUGACGGUACCUGCAGAAGAAGGAGCGGCCAACUACGUGCCAGCAGCCGCGGUGACACGUAGGCUCCAAGCGUUGUCCGGAUUUAUUGGGCGUAAAGAGCUCGUAGGCGGUUUAGUAAGUCGGGUGUUAAAACUCUGGGCUCAACCCGGUGACGCCAUCCGAUACUACUAUGACUUGAGUUCAGGAGGGGAGACUGGAAUUCCU
rnacentral:rRNA from 1 species